rnacentral:lncRNA from 1 species
UGGAAUGCUCCCGAGUCCUCAGUAUGAGUCUGAAAUGCCUACCGGGCCCUCAGCUCAUAUCUGGAAUACUCUAGGGUUUGUUGGCUACCACACGGAGCAGUACCACCUCAACCCAUCCCACAUAACAUGUCGACAUGUAACAGAUAAAUGCACAUACAGGUAAUAAAUCAGUGUCACAGGUAGUUCUACAGACCUACCCUCUAGCAUAUCAACUAGCAUGUGUAACCAACUCAUACUCAACAUAAUACAACUACUAGGAUAUCACAUUCAAUCGGUCGGCCUUGGUGCCUUAGACCCCUUAGUAUAGCGAGGAUAACUCACCUGACACUGUUGAAGUCCCGUAGACACAAUCAUACACUACUUAAGUUCCGCAAACUCAACCCCAGCUGUUGGAUGACAGAUUCCCGAACUGUUAACACCAACAUAACACCCAAUUAAUAAUUGGAUCCCAACACAUAACCAUAAAUGCAUCCUUGGAUAAUUACUACAUGACCCCAAGGUCCGCUUCAUUCAAGCCCAAGGCCCAACCCAUAGGCCCAAAGUCAACUGGGAAUCAAGGCCCAACUUAUGGCCCAAUUUUCCAAAUUAGGCCCAAGCUUUACAUGGUCUUAUUCUAAGGCCCAACAUCAUAUGAUCAUUAAGGCCCAGGCUAUGGCCCUUCUAUGGCCCAAUUUUCCAAAUUAGGCCCAAACCACUUACAUGGGCCUUAUCCCAAAGCCCAUUAAUUAUUCUAGUCCAUUUGUUUAGUCUUGUAUAGCCCAUUUAAUAACCCAAUCAUCAAGGCCCAAUAGAAAUGCCUAAUAAUAAACCCAAGUGAAAUUAGCGUUUCACAUAAAAUGAUGAUUAGGGUUAAGUUUCCUACUUAACCCAUUAAGGAAUUAAUCCACUAAGUCCCUCACUUUACUAAAUAAGUCAUAUGGUGUGCUUGAGCUUAAUACACAAUUCCAUUCCAAUGGUCCAAAUGUGGGUCCCGAUAAGUCCAAGCCCAUAAUCCCAAAAUUAGGGUUUUCAUAUGAAAUGAUGAUUAGGGUUAAGUGUUUCUCACUUAACCCAUUAAGGACUUAAUCCAUUAAGUGCAUUAUUUUUUUGUGCUAGUUUGCCAAUGAUUAUUAAUUAUUACUUAGGUUUAAUAAUUAAUUCUUGUGUGUGUCCCAAACGAUUCCCAUAAUUAGGGUUUUAUGCCCUUAGAGUCUUCCUAACCCUAAUUAGGGUUUUUUUUCCAACCCAAUACUAUCCCAUUAGUUCAUUGGUUGGGCUUUUAGGUCACAUUGGGCCUUAUUGGCCCAUUAGGGUUCCAUUGGGCCCACUAGGGCUUCUUUGGGCCCAUUAGGGUUCCAUUGAUUCCACAGUGUCCAAACAUCCCCCAAACGAGGUCCACACGCAAUCAAGCACACACCGCCACCCGGCACGGCGGCAGGAGGCGGCAACCACCACCUCACGGUAGUGGUUUCAAGUUUUUCUAUUAUUAUUCCGACAUCGAUUACAGUUUACAACCAAAUCCGAAUGACACACUCACACACUAAUCAAAUAAAAUACACACACACAGUGGCUUAUGGUGGCAGCAGGUGGUGGUCUCUUGAUUUUUCCGGCCAACUAGCCACACGCACACACACUGACACGUUUUGCUUGUAAACUGGACCCAACCACCCACCUGGUGGCGUUUGGCGAUGGAGAGGGCAUGAGACGGCGGGCAGCAGCGGCACUGUCGAUGACAACAACACUCCACAACCACACGGAGCGGCGACUACGAUGGCGCAUCAACAGAAAAGGGAAAAGAGGAUGAAAUUUCUCGGUCUCCCACCGGGAUAACGGCAGCGACGUUCGUAGCCACCCUUAUUGACGGAAACCACGAAUGGAGAUGGCGGCCGUUCCAAGUCUUCGGCGGUCAUGGCGCUUCGGUGGAUCGUCACGCUGCCACAGAUGAAGAGGAAAUGGCGAUAAGGCGCUUCAACUAGGGAGGAGAACGGUGGCUUCACCACAGCUCCACCUCUCUGACAGUGAAAUGGUCAUGGUGGUUGCUUCAUGGGUUCGAAAUCUCACGGUGAUGGUGGCGCGGCGGCAGAAGAAAACGCAAAGAGGGUAGUGGCCGAGAAACAGCAGCGGCGACAAGCUUCGUUGGCGCUAGCAAUAGUGGUCAUCGGUCUUGAUGAUCGGCGGCUGAGGAGGCUCCAAUGGUGGUGAGCGUCUACCGGAAGUGAAAAGGGAGGUAUAAGGGGGUGACGGUUGUAUAGGGUGUGCUAUGGUUAGGGUUGGAUCGGUGCUUAUGGGUCUAUAUACCCUGAUCCCAAAAACAUGUUGCCAUAAUGGCAGGAUUGGUCCCUCCCCCAUCAAUAUCUUUGCAAACCAACUCCAAAAUUUACUCUUUAUACCCCUGCUCCUUUACAAAUUAAGUCUAAUACUUUCCAAAUAGCUCCUUAGCCUCCAAAAUCUUUUCAAAUGAAGUCCCAAAAGUUACCAUGUAACCCCUGGAGUUCAAAUCUUGUCGUUUCACUUCCCGAAACCAACACUUUAUUAAUUAUUAUUCGAUUUUAAGCACAAAUAAUAUAAAAUAAUAAUAAUAAUUACUUCCCAAGGUUCCUAAUUUAUUGUCUAAUUACUUUACUUAAAACGGGAUGUUACAACUCUCCCCCACUUAAAUUUGAUUUCGUCCUCGAAACCGUUUCUUGUCAUUCCUUACACACAAACAACUUGAGCUACUUGGCUACAAUCCCGAGCAUAACUCUAGCCUUUCCAAGGCAACGAUAUCCAACCCUUGCAGGGUUCUAAAACCAGGAAAAUAAACAAAUUCCUUACAAUAUGAUCACAACUACUCAAUCCGAAAUAUGGAGUCUCGAGAUGGUCUGGCUUCUUAACAGACUGCCCACCCUGGAUCAUUGUCGAAUGAAUUUCACUUAACUCCCAAUCUGCUACUCAACUUCUGAUAACCUGAGGUUCCCACUAGAAAACAGAAUUACAAAUCCCACACUGCUAACUAUGAUCCUUUAGUUCCCGAACCACAUACAUAUAAUAACCCGCUCAUAAUCACAAAUACUCAUACCUGGCCCAAUCCGCCUCGGGUUGGAAUACCAGGCAUGCCUACGACGGGUCCAGUCAUCCCUAGGAUGGAAUACCCUCGUAUCACGCACAUGUUUGGUCCAAUCAACCCUCGGGUUGGAAUACCAAACACGUCAGGUCCAAUCAGUCAUAGGGUUCGGUCAUCCUCGGGAUGGAAUAGCAUAGAUAAGAAUACCACUAUAUACGAACUCCGGUCUAAACUCACAACAUGAUGUUCAGGGACCUACCCUUGUAUUUCGUACUAAAUCUUCUGAUUCCUUGCAGCCGAUUGCGGCUCGCUCGAACCUCAAAAAUGUGUCCAUUCCGAAAGCGCUCUAACAGAUGAAUGAACUAUUAUGAUCACUAGUCCCACAACCUAUGAUUGGAAUACCCCUACGAGGUCCUCAGCAUAGGUCUGGAUUGCCUCUGAGCCCACAGCAUGAGUCUGGUAUGCCCCACCUGACCCUCAGUUCAUGACUGGAAUGCUCCUGAUAAAUGAUCAACCUUAUCCAAAAGAAAAGGUCUAACCAACAUCCUUUACAACACCAACCUGCACCACAAUGCUGAAAUCCCACUAUACACGAUCCACCUAUAGAAAAGUUGCUUACCCAAUAUCUACUAAGACCUACCUGGUCUCAAUUUGUUCGCCAAUCAUCUGAAAUACCGGGCUCCAGCCCGGUCGCUGAGCUAAAGGGCUCCCACAUAGUCGUCCCACAUGACUUCUGGAUGAAAUCCUUCUCUGAAACUAGUUGCCACUAGUUAACAUGCCACUGCGAAUUUAAUAACUUUCUGAUCCAACCGAUCGGAUCCAUGUGUCGAAUCCUGUUGUUACCAAAUCCACGGCUAAAGCGAUUGCUACAUGACCAAUGGUGGCCUUACGUCAUCAACAACCUUAAGCAAUCCAUUGCUUCCUUGAUCUCUCAACUAUAAUGACAUUCCUACAGUCUUAUCGUUGGCUUAACUAGGCCUAAUCCCUCUGGGGAAAACCAUAAACCCAUUCGUGGAUUUACAUAUCCUCACUGCUACACUCGAACCGAUGGUUACUACUGCCCCCUUCCGCGUCCUAACAACGCGCUCAUGCUAUCUACCAACCUAGUGAAUGUUGCGGCUACACCCGCAGAUUUAUAACACUUCUCACACUAUCUGAUCACAAUUGAAUGCUACAACUACUCCUAUAGUCUUACAACACUUCCCAUACCAACUGAUCGCUAGUGAAUGCUACGGCUACCCCCGCAGUCUUACAACACUUUCCAUACUGGUCGAACACGCACUCGACCUAACACACAACUGAAUUUAAUUCAUGGCUAGAAUCCCAACAUGAUUUCCCAAGUUCUGCUAUCAAGCACUGAGAAGACGCAAUUUACAUGCUGAGGAGUUUUACCGAACUCCCCACUCAAAUCACACUUAAACCAAGAAGCCACUACAGUUGUCUUCCUUCCCGAAAACGAUGUGUAACUUAUCCCGAUUUCAAAACCGAUCCUGCUUCUGUAUCCCGGGAUGAUUCUCCCCCACUUAGAUUCAACCAAGUCUUCACAAUACAUGAAAAUGGGAGAAUUCCCAAUCUUUCUCACUUUCCAACAGUCGAUCUGAUAACAACCAAGUCCUACUAAUUAUUGCUCCAUUACUGUCCAAUCCCAAAUUAUCACACACUUCUAAGAACUAGGAUAACACUUCUUGAAAACCAGUAAAACUGAUAGUCCCUAAUGUUUGAAUGAUCCCACACUCAAAUCUUGAAGACCAAAAGACAGAUACCACCAUUAAUACCUCAGCAACGAGCUACUUCCUUUGGCGAUUUCAUCCGCCGAUCAAUAACGGUUACUAAAAGCACUGAAUCCUGACAAUGAUGAAUAACCAUCCUGUGGGACCCUGUCCGCAGACCUCCCACAUAAUACCCUUCUUCCCAAAGUGCUCCAACAAAUCCCCCGCUCUCGACUCUAGAACUCAUAUCAUUCAGGGCCUCGCACCCUGACUCACUCACCAGCUCAAUCAUCCACAGUUGAACUGUAGUAGCUGAAACAACUUGAUCCUGGGGUCACAAGCCUGCUCAAUCCUUCGAGCUCGUAAACUGAAAGGGCACAUCCUUGCCCUAGAAAACAACAUUCCAAUCCUAUUAAUUAACCAUUCUAAUUCCAGCUGCAUAACUCCAGCUGAACAUAAUCAUUACUCCUUUCCGGAGUCCCCGCGACUCACAUUCCGACCUCGAGCAAAACCCUCGAAGCCUCAAAUCUAGAAAUGCAUGUGCUAGACUCUCCCGCCUAACCCGCAAAAUGUAACAAGUACAGAACAUCUCCCUGAUCCGAGGUAACUGCAGCCCUCUACUUAUCAGAAUAUAUCCCAGUCACAUGUCCUGGUACUGAAAAGCUCGACCAGCUCUUCCCCUUGCCGUCGUUACAACUGAUAUAACUAUCUUAGCGCUCGUAGAAAUACUCAACCAUGGAGGUCUUAAUAGACUAAAACAUCCCCAGAAACUAUCCCCAGAUAAUGUAAAAUCCCGAAAUAUCAAUAGUAGAGUUGAAGGGCAAAAAGAGUAAAUUGGGAAAGAGUGACUCGGCGAGUCCAUGUGCGGACUCGGCGAGUAGAGUCGCGACUUGGUCGUGUGUUAAGUGGCCGACUCGGCAAGUCAGCGUAAUGGACUCGGCGAGUAGGCGCUGAGUGGAGAAAACCCUAAUUCUCGGGGUUGAGCCUUAUAUAAAGAUCACUAUGUUUUCCUCCCAGCCUCUUUAUCACCCCUUGAGCCCCAGAAAACCCUAAAUCACGGAGAAGCACCAUUGUUGAGUGGAUUGGAGCUUGGAGAAGUAAUGGUUGAAGGAAUUUUGGGAAGAUUAAAGGCUUGGAGCAAGGGGCUUUGCUUGGGUUCGAAUUACAUUGCAGUUGGGGCAUCACUUAGAGGUAAUAUCUCGUUAUUGACCUGUUGUUAUGUUGUUUCUUCAUUUUGGGGUGUGUGAGAAAUUGUCUAUGGAUGAAAUGGGAAGUCUAGAGGUUAGAUCUGAGGUUGCUACCUCAGAUCUGGAAGGGAGAAGAAUCAGAGAGCAUGAAAGUCCCUGUGUUGGAGUGUUUAGUGAAGCUUACAUGUCCCAAACCCUAGCCCAAAUGUGCAAACGACUUAGAUCUCUUUGGAUUCACGUAAAGUUUGCCACUUUACGUGAUGGAUGAGUGGUAGGAGACUAGAUCUAUGUUUUGGAUUAAUUGCAUGGCCUGAGAUGCUUCUGUAUGGAUUCAGACCGGUGGUACGCGACAAGUCACAUGGGGCGACUCGACGAGUUGCUUGAAGAUGGCCUGGAACUCGACGAGUUGGAANUUGGACUCGGCGAGUCUUGUCGAAGAGUCCCAAUAUUCUCUGGUUGAGUCGAGAAUCGAUGAGUCAAGGGAUGACUCGAUGAGUUGUGUGCGAGUGAACUCAGAGUUGUUGGACUCAGCGAGUCUCGGGGUGACUCGGCGAGUUAGGUCGUAGAUUGAGUGAAGUUCUUAUUAUGGGAACUCGACGAGUCACAGGGUUGACUCGGCGAGUAGGGUCAGUCAGGGGUUGACUUAGACUGAGGACUUUGAUUUCGACCAAGGGUUGGCCGUUGACUUUUAGGGUUUGGUCAGCGAUGUGGCCUUUGGGCCAAGAGAGACGUAAAAUAGUCUUUUACCCAUAAGAGGGUGUUAUGAGAGGAUUUAUUCUAGUCUCGAGAGUUAUAUUCAUGAGAGUAUUUGCCUUACGUGUUAGGCGGUGGCGAGUUCGAGAUUCAAGUGUGGGGAUAUCUGCUUUCUGCUUGCCAGGUGAGUCUUCUCACUAUACUUUACCUUGAGUAGGUAACCAGAGUUAUGUGACAGAGUAUUUGUAUNAGUAGGGUCAGUCAGGGGUUGACUUAGACUGAGGACUUUGAUUUCGACCAAGGGUUGGCCGUUGACUUUUAGGGUUUGGUCAGCGAUGUGGCCUUUGGGCCAAGAGAGACGUAAAAUAGUCUUUUACCCAUAAGAGGGUGUUAUGAGAGGAUUUAUUCUAGUCUCGAGAGUUAUAUUCAUGAGAGUAUUUGCCUUACGUGUUAGGCGGUGGCGAGUUCGAGAUUCAAGUGUGGGGAUAUCUGCUUUCUGCUAGCCAGGUGAGUCUUCUCACUAUACUUUACCUUGAGUAGGUAACCAGAGUUAUGUGAUCAGAGUAUUUGUAUGCUAUAUGUACGUGAUGUGUUGUACUGCAUUAUUUCUAUGUGAUUUGUGUUGUGCAUGUUUAUAGAGUUGGAACCGGAAGGUUCACAGAGUUAGAACCUGAGGGUUCACAGAGUUUGGGUGCACGGACCCAUAGAGUUAUAGCCUCGAGUGGCUAAUAUGUGUUAUGUGUGGUAUUUUGGGGAACUCACUAAGCUUCGUGCUUACAGUGUUUUGUGUGAUGUUUUUCAGGUUUCUUUCAGUAUCACGGGACGGCACCGGCUUGAUUGUACACACCAGAGAAAGAGUCAUGUUUUGGAGGAUCCUGGUUUUCUAUGCAAGUGAAAAUGGAGUCAUGUUUUGUAAAUCGACUACGAAUGAGAUUUUAAACAAGUGUUUCUAAGAAUAAAAUGAUUAUUUUAAAUGAAAAAUUUGUCUUGAAAUUUACGGUGUUACAAGUUGGUAUCAGAGCCUUGGUUUGAGGGAUUCGGAUGCGCCUUCGGGUAAAUCUGGACUCAAACUAAGGAAGUAAGAAAAGUUUUAAGGAAAUAAUUUUCUAAAAAUGAAUAAAAGUUCAAAGAGGAAGCAAGAAGGAGCAGUGUGUACAAUCAGCCAGAGCCCGAACGGUGAUUUCCCAAAAUACCCUUAUUUUUGUGUUAUGAGAUAUGUAUGAUGCACUUUAUGAGAUACUAUUGCAUGCUAGAGACAGGCUAGAUAUUUCAUAUGUUAGGACUAGAGUGGCCUGAUUUGUGAUGCCUUAGCCUAGGACUCGUUGUUAUAGGGGUUAUGCUUUUGAGUAUGUGAUGAGUGAGAGUAUCCAGUUAGAACCCAUGAGGGGUAGAGUUACAGAGUUCGGUGGUACUUUCGAGGAUGAUCCGAGAAGGUGGAGUUAUCACAGAGAGGGAGUCCUAUGUAUUCUUCGAUGCUCGAAUGCUGCUUGCUUUGUGCUUUGAGGAAUUCUUGAUGAUGGGAGUCAGCUACCAAGUGAAUAUGACGAUAUUCAGGAGGUAGAUGGCUGGCAUCAUUAGGAUUUCUUCAGCAGCUGAUAGCAAAGAAGUGGGAGGACAACGAAAGAGCCUAGGGAGUAACCGUAUCCAGAUGAGUGCGCUUGUAGAAUAGAGAAUUUCGCUGGGGAGCGAGCACGCGCGAUGGGAUUGGUGAAAGAGCAGGUCGAGCAGCUAUUUAGAAGCUCUGGGAUGGUCCGUGUGGAAAGUAUGGGUAGAUGUGGCAGGUAGUAUGGGCCCGUACUACUGAAAGCAAAGGACCCAUACUUGAUACAGGGAGUAUUCUGAAGGUUCUAAGGAGCAGAUUUGAGGGGUGAUGUUAUGGUUUGAGUACCAUACAUCGGAGCGGAUCGAGGAGUGAUGUUAUGGUUCGGGUAUCAUACAUCAGGGCAGAUUGAGGAGUGAUGUUAUGGUUCGGGUACCAUACAUCAGAGCAGAUUGAGGAGUGAUGUUAUGGUUUGAGUACCAUACAUCAGAGCGGAUCGAGGAGUGAUGUUAUGGUUCGGGUACCAUACAUCAGGGCAGAUUGAGGAGUGAUGUUAUGGUUCGGGUACCAUACAUCAGGGCAGAUUGAGGAGUGAUGUUAUGGUUCGGGUACCAUACAUCAGGGCAGAUUGAGGAGUGAUGUUAUGGUUCGGGUACCAUACAUCAGGGCAGAUUGAGGAGUGAUGUUAUGGUUCGGGUACCAUACAUCAGGGCAGAUUGAGGAGUGAUGUUAUGGUUCGGGUACCAUACAUCAGGGCAGAUUGAGGAGUGAUGUUAUGGUUCGGGUACCAUACAUCAGGGCAGAUUGAGGAGUGAUGUUAUGGUUCGGGUACCAUACAUCAGGGCAGAUUGAGGAGUGAUGUUAUGGUUCGGGUACCGUACAUCAGAGCAGAUUGAGGAGUGAUGUUAUGGUUCGGGUACCGUACAUCAGAGCAAAUUGAGGAGUGAUGUUAUGGUCCGGGUACCAUACAUCGGAGCGGAUUGGGGAGUGAUGUUAUGGUUAGGGUACCAUACACCGGGGCAUAUUGAGAAGAGAUGUCAUGGAAUGAGUACCAUGGUUCGUAGUGAAUGAUGUUUGUGGUUCUCCGGUUAUUCGGUCACGAGUAAGUUCGAAGAGGCAUCCCUUGAGAGGGAGAUGGAGAGCCCCUCAGAGUAUUUUAGUAAGGAGUCAGUGAGAAGGGAGAAUUUCGAUCCGAGUUGGGCGAUCAGUCGAUAAAGGAGAUGUCACCUCCUAUGAUCUGGGAGGUACUGAUUAUGCUCGUGUGAAAGAUAUGAGAAGCAUGAUGUUUUGGUUUUGGGUUUAGGGGUAAACCCUGCAGGUCAUCAUUGAUGAUGAUUUCCCACCAAUGUAUCAGGUAGCAUGUGUGCCGCGAGGCAGUGAUCUAUCAUGAGCAGAUAGUCAGUUGAGACUGGGUUAGUCGAGGGCCACGCUAUACCUAAUUGAGUUUAGUCGGGUGUACGGUAGUGGUAUCAGCGGGUAGUUCAGUCGAGUUUACCGGUGCCGAGAGUUUUCUAUCCAUGGGGUGUUGAAUUUGGGAGUGGGUUCCUGUUCUUGGGAUGAUCCCGGUGUUGGAGCGUUGGUUAAAGAGUUGAGGUGAGGGGUACGAUGAUUUUAUGGUUCAGUCUAUGAGCCCGGGAUGUUAUCGAGAAGUUGAGUUGUUUGGUACUAAAUUGGUACGAGAUUUGGAACGACUAGAGGCAGACGUGACGAGAAGUUCUUGAGGAGUUCACCAGAGGUUCAGAGUAUAUGAGGUCGAUUCAUUUCCUUAAAGGGGGAUUAUCGGGCGUUGUGUAGCACUUUCCGGGGGCAGGUGCGAUUUUGCUGGAGAAUGUAGUUAUGGGUUAGUUGCAUGCUAAUUGGUGAUGGUUCGAACCCUAAGUGGGGGAGAACCGGGUGCUGUAUGUAAGAAAGCAGAGAUUUGUCAAGAGCAGUUAUAAGUGGAGUAUAGAGAUAUGCAGUAAGAAAUCAUGAGACCAAAGAUGUCGGUGAUUGAGGAAAGGGGUCAGAGUGAGUUAAUGCGGGAAGUACUUGUUUGAGAAGGAUGAAUGUCUCCACGACAGGUGUUUAUUAGUCAUGAAUCUGGUAUGGGUCAGUGUUGGGGAAAGUAGAUAAAGAAUGAUUGGGUAGCCAACUCCCGGGUCGGUAUGCGUAUCCUUGUUUGGAUUUUGAGCGGCGGGAAAAAGGGUUUCGGAGAACUAUCAGCAUGUUUCGUAGCGUUAGCGUUUCUUCGUAUUGCAAUUGAGAAAUUGAAUACACCGAAGUUGCAACUUGGGAAAAAUGAAGAUCUAGUUAUGGGGUUCAGAGGGAAUGUAUUAUUGCAUCUAUAUGGUGCUUGGAGCAGGAGAUCUGUGGUUGUGGCAGGAUCUGGUGAUGUUCGGUGGGGGUGUUCCGAGGUAUCCGGGUAUUAAUAUCUUUAUUUCAAAGUUAUUCGUGAAUCUUGAGUUGAGACGACUGGUGGUAUAUCAGGUAUCUAUGGAUCUAUUGAGAGCCUUCGAGUAUGGGCAUCCAGGGAGAUUACUUGGGAGAGUGGAUCUUCGCAAGGGUGGGCAUCUGUUAUGACGGUCGCCUCCAGAGUCUGUGAUGAAUAUUCGAGACGAGUAUGGGUAGCCGCCUAUGAUAGUCUGUGGAGCACGAGCUAGUGGAGUCAGAGGGUGUUGUGAUACUGCAGAGAGCCGUAGUACUCACUAGUCAGAGGGUGUUGUGAUACUGCGGAGAGCCGUAGUACUCACUAGUCAGAGGGUGUGAUACUACGGAGAGCCGUAGUACUCACUAGUCAGAGGGUGUAGUGAUACUGCGGGGAGCCGUAGUACUCACUAGUCCGAGGGUGCUGUGAUACCGCAAGGAGCUGUAGUGUUCACUAGAUGGCAAGAGAGUGUGAUGAUGGAAUGUUCUCCGAUCAGUGUAUGAUGUGGAAGAGUUUUGGGCUUGAGUAUCCCUAGAUGGCAAGAGAGUGUGAUGGGGGCGAGACUGGGGUCCCCGUCUCUGUCGGGGAAUGUGGUGAGAUGCGCAAGGGAUAUGCGCAGCAGAAACCAGAGAUCAGAGUGGAGACGAUCCUCGGUUGGAUUGUACUUUCUUGCAUAAGGAAAAGAGAAUUUCGUGACUUGCGUGUCACAGGGCUGGGAUAGUGGUCACGGGGAGGAAGUUAGUGGGAUAUUUGGAUCAUGAUUUGGGUAACCUUUGGAGGCUCAGCUGUGGAGUCAAAAGCUGACCUGGUGGCCAGUCUCGAAGAGGGAUAUGAGAUGAGCUAGAGCUUAUCAUGAUGAUGUCUGAGGACACCUCAUAGGGAGUGAACGAUUCAGAUGCUCAAAGACAUGCUUCGGGCAUGUGUAUUAGAUUUCGGAGGGUGUUGCGGCACGUAUUUAUCCUUGGUUGAGUUAUCCUAUUUCAACAUCCAUCAUUAGUGCAUUGGUAUGCCACCCUUUGUGCUGUUGUAUGGGAGGAAGUGUCGGACCCUCAUUUGCUGAGGAAAGUGUCGAUUCGCGGAAGUGGAAAGUUGUAGUGAGAAUGGAUGAUUUGGAGUAUGACGGUCGAACAUUGUGUCUGUGACAGUGGUAUGGAAUGACAUCAUGAUGGGAUGUCUGCUGAGGAUGCGGAAGGGAUUCCGCGGGUGUAGAGCCAAGAGUCUCAGGAUGGAUGUAAGGAUGGAGUCUGGGACUCCCAGCUUGAUUCUGAUCAAGGGCCGUGUGCGUAGUGGUGGUGUCUCCUGGUGAUGUUAGAGAUGUCCUCAGUGCGACGGGUUCUCCUAACCCAAGAGUGCGAAGGUUGGUGCGGUUUGGGUGCUUGAUUGCAAGAAGAGGACUCAUGAGAGUUGCUCUGGGAUUGAAGAGUGGGCCUUUCUGUCGUCACGGAUUGGAUAGAAUGGGAUUCGGAUCGGGGAUCCGAUGGUUCAUGGCUUCUAACCCUUAUGGGUCGAGUGAUUGUUGAGAUUUGGGUCAGUGAUGUUUCAUGGGUAAUUCUCGGAUCGUUGAGUGUGGUUAUCAGAGGGUACAUCCGGUGCCCGGUUUGAGACAGUGGUCAGGACACCGUAAGGAAAGGAAAAGUGUGUUCGAGUUUCGAUGGGUAUGCCUUGUGAGACCUGGUCCGAUUAAGGCCAGGUGGCACGUCGUGGGAGUAUUUCUAGAGUUGAGUUGCUGUAGGCUUCGAGGGCGAAGCCUAAUUUAAGUGGGGGAGAAUUGUAACAUCCCGAAAUAUCAAGAGUAGGGUUGAAGGGAAAAAUGANNNNNNNNNNNNNNNNNNNNNNNNNNNNNNNNNNNNNNNNNNNNNNNNNNNNNNNNNNNNNNNNNNNNNNNNNNNNNNNNNNNNNNNNNNNNNNNNNNNNNNNNNNNNNNNNNNNNNNNNNNNNNNNNNNNNNNNNNNNNNNNNNNNNNNNNNNNNNNNNNCUUGGUCGCGUGUUAAAUGGCCGACUCGGCGAGUCAGUGUAAUGGACUCGGCGAGUAGGCGCUGAGUGGAGAAAACCCUAAUUCUCGGGGUUGAGCCUUAUAUAAAGGUCACUAUGUUUUCCUCCCAGCCUCUUUAUCAUCCCUUGAGCCCCAGAAAACCCUAAAUCGCGGAGAAGCACCAUUUUUGAGUGGAUUGGAGCUUGGAGAAGUAAUGGUUGAAGGAAUUUUGGGAAGAUUGAAGGCUUGGAGCAAGAGGCUUUGCUUGGGUUCGAAUUGCAUUGCAGUUGGGGCAUCACUUAGAGGUAAUAUCUCGUUAUUGACCUGUUGUUAUGUUGUUUCUUCAUUUUGGGGUGUGUGAGAAAUUGUCUAUGGAUGAAAUGGGAAGUCUAGAGGUUAGAUCUGAGGUUGCUACCUCAGAUCUGGAAGGGAGAAGAAUCAGAGAGCAUGAAAGUCCCUGUGUUGGAGUGUUUAGUGAAGCUUACAUGUCCCAAACCCUAGCCCCAAUGUGCAAACGACUUAGAUCUCUUUGGAUUCACGUAAAGUUUGCCACUUUACGUGAUGGAUGAGUGGUAGGAGACUAGAUCUAUGUUUUGGAUUAAUUGCAUGGCCUGAGAUGCUUCUGUAUGGAUUCAGACCGGUGGUACGCGACAAGUCACAUGGGGCGACUCGACGAGUUGCUUGAAGAUGGCCUGGAACUCGACGAGUUGGAAGAACAACUCGACGAGUAGGUUGAAGAUAGCCUUGGACUCGACGAGUCCAUUUGGACUCGGCGAGUCUUGUCGAAGAGUCCCAAAUAUUCUCUGGUUGAGUCGAGAAUCUGUGAGUCGAGGGAUGACUCGGUGAGCCGUGUGCGAGUGGACUCAGAGUUGUUGGACUCAGCGAGUCUCGGGGUGACUCGGCGAGUUAGGUCGCAGAUUGAGUGAAGUUCUGAUUAUGGGAACUCGACGAGUCACAGGGUUGACUCGGCGAGUAGGGUCAGUCAGGGGUUGACUUAGACUGAGGACUUUGAUUUCGACCAAGGGUUGGCCGUUGACUUUUAGGGUUUGGUCAUCGAUGUGGCCUUUGGGCCAAGAGAGACGUAAAAUAGUCUUUUACCCAUAAGAGGGUGUUAUGAGAGGAUGUAUUCUAGUCUCGAGAGUUAUAUUCAUGAGAGUAUUUGCCUUACGUGUUAGGCGGUGGCGAGUUCGAGAUUCAAGUGUGGGGAUAUCUGCUUUCUGCUAGCCAGGUGAGUCUUCUCACUAUACUUUACCUUGAGUAGGUAACCAUAGUUAUGUGAUCAGAGUAUUUGUAUGCUAUAUGUACGUGAUGUGUUGUACUGCAUUAUUUCUAUGUGAUUUGUGCUGUGCAUGUUUAUAGAGUUGGAAUCGGAAGGUUCCCAGAGUUAGAACCUGAGGGUUCACAGAGUUUGGGUGCACGGACCCAUAGAGUUAUAGCCUCGAGUGGCUAAAAUGUGUUAUGUGUGGUAUUUUGGGGAACUCACUAAGCUUCGUGCUUACAGUGUUUUGUGUGAUGUUUUUCAGGUUUCUUUCAGUAUUACGGGACGGCACCGGCUUGAUUGUACACACCAGAGAAAGAGUCAUAUUUUGGAGGAUCCUGGUUUUCUAUGCAAGUGAAAAUGGAGUCAUGUUUUGUAAAUCGACUAUGAAUGAGAUUUUAAACAAGUGUUUCUAAGAAUAAAAUGAUUAUUUUAAAUGAAAAUUUUGUCUUGAAAUUUACGGUGUUACAGAUAAACCCGAUCACCUCCUCCCGGAUGAUCUCACUGAUGCGGUCCUCUGACAAUGCUGGUCUAUCCUGGCUUCCAGCUCCCGAUCCUAACCUGGAUCCGAUCUGAAGAUGUCUCGUAACCACCAUUCUGGUAAAACACCAGAAGGAUCACUGAUAACUCAUAUAGAGACAGGGAACCAACUCCCAACCCAACCCUAGCGAUUGUGACCUACUUGACACGCGUAUGGGUCUUGUGCUUUCAGUAGUAUGGGCCCCUACUACCUUCCACACCUACCCAUAUUUGUCUCAAGUAUCACCACAACGCCCUAACUGAAUACACAACAUGGCGAGCGCUUAAUCCUCACUCCUAGAGGAAUGUUAAAUAUCUCAUAACUGGCCUCCCUGCCUCACACAAUCUACCCAUCCAUGAAACUUCCACCAACUCUGCACCACUAGUGUAUGCUAGCCAUAUAUAAUGCUGGACCCUAUAGGCUUUCGAAUAUCCAAUCCUACCCUAAGCUCCCAAUCAAACAAGAAUAGAACAUAAGGCCAAAUCAAACAUUCUUAGGCUAUAAUAUCUUAGUUAUGUAUAACCGUGAUGCAUGCACUAAACAACUACAAUAAUGAUGUCAAUCUCAUAUAAAGGAGACCCUAGGCUAGCAGGCAUCAUGUAAUCAGGCAAUUCUAUCAUGCAAUUCCUGAUGAUCCCUAGCAUAGUACUAACAUGCUGUUCUAACAUAUCUCAUAAUCAAAUAACUUGUAUGGUAUUUUCGGGUCUACUUACUGGCUUCGGCUGAUCGUACACCUUACAUCCUCCUUUACAUAUUUUGAAAACCAUUUGAGAAUCAUUUUGAAAAAUCUAUUCCUUGAUUUGAGACUGGAGUCACACGAGUGUUCCUCCAAUUCACUCAAACCAAGGCUCUGAUACCAACUAGUAACACCCCAAAAAAUUCAAGCCAAUUUAAAACAUUUUAAACAUCCAAAAACCAUUAGUUAUUACAAACUUGUUUUCAAAAUGUAUAAUAUCAGAGUAUCCUAGAAACAUAGUCAUAAAAAGUGAGGAGUUGUACGAUCAUACCUUUGCCCUGUCACGAUCCCCUGAUGCACCUAAAACAAUAAACUGAAACUGUAAGCCCGAAAUCUUAGUGAGUUACCCCCAAAAUACCGAUACACAUACAGUCCACAUAAACAUAUCAUAACAAACUGAACAGAACAGCAUGCAAUGGAUCCACAGCUUUACAAGCUGGAUUACCCCUGGGCCCUCAGUAUGAGUCUGGAAUGCCUAUCGGGCCCUCAGCUCGUAUCUGGAAUACCAUCGAGCCCUCAGUAUGAGUCUGGAAUGCCUAUCAGGCCCUCAGCUCGUAUCUGGAAUGCUCCCGAGUCCUCAGUAUGAGUCUGGAAUGCCUACCGGGCCCUCAGCUCAUAUCUGGAAUACUCUAGGGUUUGUUGGCUACCACACGGAGCAGUACCACCUCCACCCAUCCCACAUAACAUGUCGACAUGUAAUAGAUAAAUGCACAUACAGGUAAUAAAUCAGUGUCACAGGUAGUCCUACAGACCUACCCUCUAGCAUAUCAACUAGCAUGCGUAACCAACUCAUACUCAACAUAAUACAACUACUAGGAUAUCACAUCCAAUGGGUCGGCCUUGGUGCCUUAGACCCCUUAGUAUAGCGAGGAUAACUCACAUGGCACUGUUAAAGUCCC